UAUAACAUAGCGUUAAUGUACCAGAUCCCAUCAAAACUUUGCAGUUAAGUGUGCUCAAGCUAGAGUAGUACUGGGAUGGGUGACCGCCCGGGAAGUCCUAGUGUUUUAC
rnacentral:rRNA from 1 species